UAUCGCGAGACAAUGUAUUUUUUUUUUAAAUUGUAUUUUGUGUGAUUAAUUUUUGUUAUAGGUUAAAGAGAUGAUGAAUAGAGGCACUAAGAAUAAAAAAAAAAAGUUGUUACUUGGGUUACGACUCCACGAACUAGAAAUAGGUCGCUAUCCAAAAUAGGCUGACUAACACGCUUCUUCAGCAUCAUAAUGUUGUGGUAUAUAGAAGGGAGCUAAUUGACAGAAAGAGUAGAAGUCAAUACUGGAAGAGUGUUUGACAAUAUAAACCAUUUUCAUUUCUGCAUUUAGGGGAUGGGUCUUCUUCUACCAUUCCGUACCAGUGAAGUGCAUGCCUCUGCCAAGCACACUCUAUAUCAAGCUUAGAUUUAACAAGCUUUGGCAAAAAUGAAUUUGAACUAUUGGUACUGUGUCAGUUCACAUAAAUAUUUAUUGAUCUCAUAUGCUCUGUUUUUUUGUUU